GAGUUUGAUCCUGGCUCAGAACGAACGCUGGCGGCGUGCCUAACACAUGCAAGUCCAACGUGAAAGGGGAGCAAUCCCCCGGUAGGGUGGCAAACGGGUGAGUAAUACAUGGGUGAUCUACCUUAGGGAUGGGGAUAUCCUUCCGAAAGGAGGGGCAAUACCGAAUAUUGUCCGGAGCCGUGAAGGGUUCCGGGGAAAGGGAGGCCUCUGAUACAAGCUUUCGCCUUAAGAUGAGCCCAUGGCCCAUCAGCUAGUUGGUAGGGUAAAGGCCUACCAAGGCUACGACGGGUCGCUGGUCUGAGAGGACGACCAGCCACACUGGCACUGAGAUACGGGCCAGACUCCUACGGGAGGCAGCAGUGAGGAAUAUUGCGCAAUGGGGGAAACCCUGACGCAGCAACGCCGCGUGUGGGAAGAAGGCCUUCGGGUCGUAAACCACUUUUGCACGGGACGAAAAAGGGAUAUCGAACAAAUAUCCCCGAUGACGGUACCGUGAGAAUAAGCCACGGCUAACUCUGUGCCAGCAGCCGCGGUAAGACAGAGGUGGCAAGCGUUGUUCGGAAUUACUGGGCGUAAAGAGUCUGUAGGUGGUUUGUCAAGUCUUUGGUGAAAGGCCGUAGCUUAACUAUGGGUAUGCCAAAGAGACUGGCAGGCUGGAGGCUGGGAGAGGGAAGCGGAAUUUCUGGUGUAGCGGUGAAAUGCGUAGAUAUCAGAAGGAAGGCCGGUGGCGAAGGCGGCUUCCUGGAACAGUCCUGACA
rnacentral:rRNA from 1 species